rnacentral:lncRNA from 1 species
GUGAAAGCGAAGAGAGGCUGGGAUGAAGGGUGCAAAGGGAUAGUAAAGAAAGCAUGUUUGAGAUCCAGAACAGAAUAAUGGGUUGUUGAGGGAGGUAUUGAGGAUAGGAGAGUAUAUGGGUUUGGCACCAAGGGAGGGGGAUAGGAAAAACAGUUUUGUUUAUAAGGCGCAGAUCCUGAACUAACCUGUAAGGCUUGUCUGGUUUUAGGACAGGUAAAAUGGGGGAAUUGUAAGGGGAGUUUAUAGGCUUUAAAAGGCCACGCUGUAGCAGGCAAGUGAUAACAGGCUUUAAUCCUUUUAAAGCAUUCUGUGGGAUGGGAUGUUGGCAUUGAGCGGGGUAAGGGUGAUUAGGUUUUAAUGGGAUGGUAAUGGGCAUAUGAUCGGUUGCCAGAGAAGGAAUAGAGAUGUCCUAUACUUGUGGGUUAAGGUUGGGGGAUACGAGAGGAAGAUGCAAAUGAGGCUUUGGGUUGGGGAGAAGGGCGGCAAUGAGAUGCAGCUGUAGUCCAGGAAUAGUCAGGGAAGCAGAUAAUUUAGUUAAAGUGUCUCGGCCUAAUAAGGGAACUGGGCAGGUGGGGAUAAUUAAAAAAGAGUGCAUAAAAGAGUAUUGUCUAAGUUGGCACCAGAGUUGGGGAGUUUUAAGAGGUUUAGAAGCCUGGCCAUCAAUACCUACAACAGUUAUGCAGGCAAGGGAAACAGGCCCUGAAAAUAAGGUAAUGUGGAGUGAGUAGCCUCCAUAUUGAUUAAGAAGGGGACAGAUUUACCCUCUACUGUGAGAGUUACCUAGAGUGUCUGUGAUGGUCCUGUAGGCUUCAUGAGGUGAUCAGGCAGUGUCAGUCUUCAGCUGCUAAGCCGAGAAGAUCUGGGAAGGAGUCAGUCAGAGAGCCUUGGGCCAGAGUUCCAGGGGCUUUGGAAGUGGCUGCCAGAAGACAGGUGUUGGAGCUCCAGGCCUCAAAUCCUCACAACACGGCUUUUUCUACAAGCAGAAAAGAACCCAAUCCUCAACCGUGUUUCCUUCACCAGUGAGAACACCUUUCUGAGGAGCUCCCAGGAAGGAACAAAGAUUGAUUCUCUGGCACACAGGUUUCAGACAAGCAACUGUUGGAUUAGAGCAUACAGGGACAUAUAUUGUCCUACUGCCCCCUGUGGUUAGUAUGAUUUGUCUGACUAGCUAGUUAUUAAUAGUUGUCCCCUUCUCCUACCACUUCAAGCCCACUUCAACCAGCUCCUUCCAAAUGCUCAAGAGAAGACUUCAGAAGAAAUUCAAAGUUUUCAAAAUGAUGUUGGAUUGAAAGUUCUGAUGAUGUUCUAUAAACCAAGAGUUUGCAAACUGUGGCCAAAUCCUGCUCACCCUCUGAUUGUGUAUAGCCCCAAGCUAAGAAUGGUUUUUACAUUUUAAAGUAGCUGGAAAAUAUCAAAAGAAGAGUAAUAAUAUUUUGUGACACAUGAAAAUUCAUGAAAUUCAAACUUCAGUGUCCGUAAAUAAAGCUUACUGAAACAGAGC